UUCUCCCUACGGGGGGCAGCAGUAGGGAAUUUUCGUCAAUGGGCGCAAGCCUGAACGAGCAAUGCCGCGUGAACGAGGAAGGUCUUCGGAUCGUAAAGUUCUGUUGAAGGGGAAAAAGAGCGGAGAGAGGAAAUGAACUCCGAUUGAUAUUACCCUUCGAGGAAGUCACGGCUAACUACGUGCCAGCAGCCGCGGUAAUACGUAGGUGGCGAGCGUUAUCCGGAAUGAUUGGGCGUAAAGGGUGCGUAGACGGCUGCGCAAGUCUGAAGUGAAAGCCCGGGGCUCCACCCCGGGCCUGCUUUGGA
rnacentral:rRNA from 1 species